rnacentral:rRNA from 1 species
UGGGGAAUAUUGGACAAUGGGCGAAAGCCUGAUCCAGCCAUGCCGCGUGUGUGAAGAAGGCCUUUUGGUUGUAAAGCACUUUAAGUGGGGAGGAAAAGCUUAUGGUUAAUACCCAUAAGCCCUGACGUUACCCACAGAAUAAGCACCGGCUAACUCUGUGCCAGCAGCCGCGGUAAUACAGAGGGUGCAAGCGUUAAUCGGAAUUACUGGGCGUAAAGCGCGCGUAGGUGGUUAUUUAAGUCAGAUGUGAAAGCCCCGGGCUUAACCUGGGAACUGCAUCUGAUACUGGAUAACUAGAGUAGGUGAGAGGGGAGUAGAAUUCCAGGUGUAGCGGUGAAAUGCGUAGAGAUCUGGAGGAAUACCGAUGGCGAAGGCAGCUCCCUGGCAUCAUACUGACACUGAGGUGCGAAAGCGUGGGUAGCAAACAGGAUUAGAUACCCUGGUAGUCCACGCCGUAAACGAUGUCUACCAGUCGUUGGGUCUUUUAAAGACUUAGCGACGCAGUUAACGCAAUAAGUAGACCGCCUGGGGAGUACGGCCGCAAGGUUA